UACGUAGGGGGCAAGCGCUACUCGGAAUCACUAGGCGUAAAGCGCAGGUAGGCGGUUUGGUAAGUCUUUUGUGAAAGCUCCCGGCUCAACUGGGAGAGGUCAAGGGAAACUACCGGACUUGAGUGUGGUAGGGGAUACUGGAAUUCCUGGUGUAGCGGUGAAAUGCGUAGAUAUCAGGAGGAAUACCUAUGGCGAAAGCAGGUAUCUGGGCCAUCACUGACGCUGAGCUGCGAAAGCUAGGGGAGCAAACAGG
rnacentral:rRNA from 1 species